GUUUGAAUCAUGCUGGCUCUGACCCUGAUCUGCCUCUUUGUCAGUCUCAGCCAAUCCUAUGGGGAAGCACUGUGAUUGGAUCAGGCCACCACUUCUAAUGAUGUCAGCAGACUGCUUCUUUUUAUGAGUCUAACAGCAUGCAGAGUUACAGCUUCAGGCUUGAAUAUAGUAGGAUUUUGCUAUAUUUAUGGAGGCCAUGAGGGGCCCAGGGGGGCUAGAUGGUGGUGUUAACACCAUAGGGUCAUGAAUUCAUGUUUGUGUUCCUGACCCUAUAGUGAUCCUUUAAGGUAAUGCUGACUUUGGUCUCUCUAACACUGUGGCAUGUUCCCUUUCUUCUAAACUCACUACAUACAGCUUUUCUCU